rnacentral:misc_RNA from 1 species
GUGAGUCAUCGAAUCUUUGAACGCACAUUGCGCCUUCUGGUAUUCCGGUAGGCAUGCCUGUUUGAGCGUCAGCAAAACACCCUCAGCUGAAUUUUUGUUAUUCAAGCUGGUCUUGGGUAGCGGAUGCCGGUGGGAGAUACUUCCUGCCCGCGCCCUCCCUAAACUUGCUGCACGACCGCAAGCCCCUUCUAGCUAGGUCAAUGGAGUGGUGUUACAAUCUUCCAAAAAGCCUGCUGGUAACCGCUCUGCGGCGUUAAACCUAAACGUCUCCCCUAGUGGGGGACCGAAGUUUUGACCUCA